GGGGCAUUAGCUCAGUUGGGAGAGUGCCUGCAUGGCAUGCAGGAGGUCAUCGGUUCAAGCCCGAUAUGCUCCA
rnacentral:tRNA from 2 species